rnacentral:rRNA from 1 species
UUGUACUGCGAAACUGCGAAUGGCUCAUUAAAUCAGUUAUCGUCUAUUUGAUAGUACCUUACUACUUGGAUAACCGUGGUAAUUCUAGAGCUAAUACAUGCUGCAAAGCCCGACUUCGGAAGGGUUGUAUUUAUUAGAUUAAAAACCAAUGCCCUCCGGGGCUCACUGGUGAUUCAUGAUAACUUCUCGAAUCGCACGGCCUUGCGCCGGCGAUGGUUCAUUCAAAUUUCUGCCCUAUCAACUUUCGACGGCUGGGUAUUGGCCAGCCGUGGUGACAACGGGUAACGGAGGGUUAGGGCUCGACCCCGGAGAAGGAGCCUGAGAAACGGCUACUACAUCCAAGGAAGGCAGCAGGCGCGCAAAUUACCCAAUCCCGACACGGGGAGGUAGUGACAAUAAAUACUGAUACAGGGCUCUUUUGGGUCUUGUAAUUGGAAUGAGUACAAUUUAAUUCCCUUAACGAGGAACAAUUGGAGGGCAAGUCUGGUGCCAGCAGCCGCGGUAAUUCCAGCUCCAAUAGCGUAUAUUAAAGUUGUUGCAGUUAAAAAGCUCGUAGUUGAACCUUGGGCCUGGCUGGCCGGUCCGCCUCACCGCGUGCACUGGUCCGGCCGGGCCUUUCCCUCUGGGGAGCCGCAUGCCCUUCACUGGGCGUGCCGGGGAACCAGGACGUUUACUUUGAAAAAAUUAGAGUGUUCAAAGCAGGCUUAUGCUCGGAUACAUUAGCAUGGAAUAAUGGAAUAGGACGCGUGGUUCUAUUUUGUUGGUUUCUAGGACCGCCGUAAUGAUUAAUAGGGACAGUCGGGGGCAUCAGUAUUCAGCUGUCAGAGGUGAAAUUCUUGGAUUUGCUGAAGACUAACUACUGCGAAAGCAUUUGCCAAGGAUGUUUUCAUUAAUCAGGAACGAAAGUUAGGGGAUCGAAGACGAUCAGAUACCGUCGUAGUCUUAACCAUAAACUAUGCCGACUAGGGAUCGGACGGUGUUAUUCUUUGACCCGUUCGGCACCUUACACGAAAGUACA